rnacentral:misc_RNA from 1 species
AAAAAAAAAGACACAGAAAAGAAACAACACCCUCCCCCUCAAAAUAAAUAAAUAAAGAAGGAAGCUUAUCAGUGCUUUGAUGUCCCAAUCAUUGCGCAAAGCAUGCCCACAAUCGCCUUUUUGACUGUGGGAUCAAACAAUUCAGAUCAAGCACUACUGGCCUGCCAGUUACCAGUCAUGCUUAACCAGAAAACCUUUUUAUAACUCUCCAUAUUUUAAUAGUUUCAGUUUUCAAUAUGUGUUCUUGAAGCACAUUUUCUUGUAAAAACUAAAUAUGUUGGACUUACUAAGAAGUUUGUCAUGUUAUGAUCUUGUAAUUGAUUCCAGAUACUUAUUGCUUGUUUUAGAAAUACCCCAAACAUAAAGAGAGUGUUGUCUUUCAUUGUCUUACGUUUAAAACAAAAUUUAACACAAAAAGUAAGAUGUGCAAUAUCUCUAC